rnacentral:rRNA from 1 species
UACGUAGGGGGCAAGCGUUGUCCGGAAUCAUUGGGCGUAAAGAGCGUGUAGGCGGUUCAGUAAGUCCGCUGUGAAAGUCAAGGGCUCAACCCUUGAAUGCCGGUGGAUACUGUUGAACUAGAGUCCGGAAGAGGCGAGUGGAAUUCCUGGUGUAGCGGUGAAAUGCGCAGAUAUCAGGAGGAACACCGAUGGCGAAGGCAGCUCGCUGGGACGGUACUGACGCUGAGACGCGAAAGCGUGGGGAGCAAACAGG